GUUUCUUCAUUGCCGCUGAUUGUCCAUAUUGUGGUUAAUAAACACUGCUGUCGCCGAAAAACUGGCAAUCGAGACUACAAUCCUACCAAUGGUGGAAUCAACUACGCAUUUCUCUGAGCUAAUUCAUCGGCCCACUGAUCCAUUCCUGUUGCUGAAUACGAGCAUCACAAUUGGGGAAACCAAUAAUACUGCGAAUUGGAAUAAUGGUUCCAACCAUAGUGGAAGUUUCAACUCUUCCGUCCCGACAACUACCAAUUUAACGAUUUCGACUUUUCCAGUUGUAGCAGCAAGAAAACGGAAAAUGUGGAGCACCUAUGACAAAAUUGGAUUAUAUGCAUGCAGAAUUACUAAAUUACUUAAGAAGAAUAAUUUCUUUCAUGAUCGAGAUCUUUCUACUAUUAAUAAUAUCAUAUCGAGGAAAUUUGAUUAUGUAUUAUGUGAUUCGUUACUCAGCGGAAAGUCAAUAUUUUAUGCCAAAAACAUUUAAAUAUAUAUGCAACAGGUUAAUUAAGCAAAUGCAUUUGCAGAGUGUUGGAUUUAGAGGAAGUUCUAGCAAUAAAUAAUUAUGAUAAUUUUAUUACAAUAAAUGCAUGAAAUUUUUUCGAUUUAUUUUUUUAUUUGCUCAUUUCCAUCAAAUCAUUUGUUUUUAUUUUCAAUCAUCAACUUAAAAUGAUUAGAAAUCACUACUAAAAUCACUACUAAAUUCUACAUGUAUAUAUGAACUCUACAAAUGACUCAUUUCGAUAAAAUCACCACUAAAUUACUACUUUUUUUAAUUUUUCGUUCGUUUACUGGCGGGGGCGUUUGUGGGGGGGGGAUGCUUGGACUGCUGCUUGGACUGCGGCUUCCUGUGCCUCCUUUAUUGCUUCAGACACAACUGACGAGGUCAGAGGCUGAACCGUCAGCAUCUCAUUCGGAAUAAUUCCGAAUUCAAUACAUAAUCAAAUUUCCUCGAUAUGAUAUUAUUAAUAGUAGAAAGAUCUCGAUCAUGAAAGAAAUUAUUCUUCUUAAGUAAUUUAGUAAUUCUGCAUGCAUAUAAUCCAAUUUUGUCAUAGGUGCU